UAGGGAAUCUUCCGCAAUGGGCGAAAGCCUGACGGAGCAACGCCGCGUGAGUGAUGAAGGUCUUCGGAUCGUAAAACUCUGUUAUUAGGGAAGAACAAAUGUGUAAGUAACUAUGCACGUCUUGACGGUACCUAAUCAGAAAGCCACGGCUAACUACGUGCCAGCAGCCGCGGUAAUACGUAGGCGGCAAGCGUUAUCCGGAAUUAUUGGGCGUAAAGCGCGCGUAGGCGGUUUUUUAAGUCUGAUGUGAAAGCCCACGGCUCAACCGUGGAGGGUCAUUGGAAACUGGAAAACUUGAGUGCAGAAGAGGAAAGUGGAAUUCCAUGUGUAGCGGUGAAAUGCGCAGAGAUAUGGAGGAACACCAGUGGCGAAGGCGACUUUCUGGUCUGUAACUGACGCUGAUUUGCGAAAGCGUGGGGAUCAAACAGG
rnacentral:rRNA from 1 species